UAGGGAAUUUUUCACAAUGAGCGAAAGCUUGAUGGAGCAAUGCCGCGUGAACGAUGAAGGUCUUUAAGAUUGUAAAGUUCUUUUAUUUGGGAAGAAUGACUUUAGCAGGUAAUGGCUAGAGUUUGACUGUACCAUUUUGAAUAAGUGACGACUAACUAUGUGCCAGCAGUCGCGGUAAUACAUAGGUCGCAAGCGUUAUCCGGAUUUAUUGGGCGUAAAGCAAGCGCAGGCGGAUUGAAAAGUCUGGUGUUAAAGGCAGCUGCUUAACAGUUGUAUGCAUUGGAAACUAUUAAUCUAGAGUGUGGUAGGGAGUUUUGGAAUUUCAUGUGGAGCGGUGAAAUGCGUAGAUAUAUGAAGGAACACCAGUGGCGAAGGCGAAAACUUAGGCCAUUACUGACGCUUAGGCUUGAAAGUGUGGGGAGCAAAUAGGAUUAGAUACCCUAGUAGUCCACACCGUAAACGAUAAAUAAUACUAGUCUGUCGGGGCGAUCCCCUCGGUAGUGAAGUUAACACAUUAAGUAUCUCGCCUGGGUAGUACAUUCGCAAGAAUG
rnacentral:rRNA from 1 species